rnacentral:rRNA from 1 species
UACGGGAGGCAGCAGUGGGGAAUAUUGGACAAUGGGGGAAACCCUGACGCAGCAACGCCGCGUGGGUGAUGAAGGUCUUCGGAUUGUAAAGCCCUGUUUUCUAGGACGAUAAUGACGGUACUAGAGGAGGAAGCCACGGCUAACUACGUGA